rnacentral:lncRNA from 1 species
AAGGGAGGGUUUAUGGUUUUGAAUCUUCUGAUAUUGCAAAAUCAGGAACUCCAACUACCUCUUUCUCAUGUACAUCAGCUCAUCCUGGAGGACCUUCUCAAACUAUGUUUUCUUUAGAGGAGGUUGAACAAAUAUUAGAGCAAAAUCGGAUCAAAAUGAAAGAAGACAUGGAGCAAAUGCAAGAGCAAAUGCGAGUGCAGAUUGAAAAGCAAAUAA